UACAGAGGCCUCGAGCGUUAGGCGGAAUCACUGGGCUUAAAGCGUGUGUAGGCGGACUUCUAAGUCCCUUGUGAAAUCCCACGGCUUACCCGUGGAACGGCUGGGUAUACUGGGAGUCUUGAGCCACCUAGGGGCGAGUGGAACAAAUGGUGGAGCGGUGAAAUGCGUAGAUAUCAUUUGGAACGCCAAUGGUGAAAACAACUCGCUGGGGGUGUGCUGACGCUGAGACACGAAAGCCAGGGGAGCGAACGGG
rnacentral:rRNA from 1 species